UGACCCCAGAAAACAAUGAGGAAUUCCAGUGGGAAUCCCAGUGGGCAUGAGGAAUCCCAGUGGGAAAGGAGGAGUGGCUUGUGAUGAUGAUCAGCAAAGACUGGGAGGAGCUGAGCAAAAGGGAUGGUGAAGCUCACAGCUGCUGUACUUAUGGGUCCUGGAGAAGGAGGAGGAGAAGGAGGUUUGAGGCAACGCCCUUAGCCUCCCUCCCUCGCCGACACACAAUCUGGAGACGACAAAGAGAGACAGCAACCUCAAAGAAUAGAAGAGGGAAGUGUUGGUGUUGUGUGUACCCACAUGCCCAGUCUCUCUCCCUCUCCCUGUAGCAGCAGCGGCAUUGCUUGCAUAGUCUGUCAUGCCGCAAACUAGGCAUAGCCAUGGUCAGUCAGAGUCAAGAAACCCAGUCAGACACACUCACACUCACACUCCCA
rnacentral:lncRNA from 1 species